rnacentral:rRNA from 1 species
GAACUGAAGAGUUUGAUCAUGGCUCAGAUUGAACGUUGGCGGCAGGCCUAACACAUGCAAGUCGAACGAGAAAGCGCCUUCGGGCGCGAGUAAAGUGGCGGACGGGUGAGUAACGCGUAGGAAUCUACCCAGCGGUGGGGGACAACUCGGGGAAACUCGAGCUAAUACCGCAUGACAUCCCAACUCUUCGGAGGCGGGAUCAAAGGGGGCCUCUCCUUGGAAGCUCCCGCCGUUGGAGGAGCCUGCGUUGGAUUAGCUUGUUGGUGGGGUAACGGCCCACCAAGGCGACGAUCCAUAGCUGGUCUGAGAGGAUGACCAGCCACACUGGAACUGAGACACGGUCCAGACUCCUACGGGAGGCAGCAGUGGGGAAUCUUGGGCAAUGGGCGCAAGCCUGACCCAGCCAUGCCGCGUGUGCGAAGAAGGCUCUAGGGUUGUAAAGCACUUUCAGUGGUGAAGAAAAUCUCGGGGUUAAUACCCCCGGGUCUUGACGUUAGCCACAGAAGAAGCACCGGCUAACUCCGUGCCAGCAGCCGCGGUAAUACGGAGGGUGCGAACGUUAAUCGGAAUUACUGGGCGUAAAGCGCGCGUAGGCGGUUCGGCAAGUGGGAUGUGAAAGCCCCGGGCUCAACCUGGGAACUGCAUUCCAAACUGCCGAACUGGAGUAUGGUAGAGGGAGGUAGAAUUUCCUGUGUAGCGGUGGAAUGCGUAGAUAUAGGAAGGAAUACCGAUGGCGAAGGCAGCCUCCUGGACCAAUACUGACGCUGAGGCGCGAAAGCGUGGGUAGCAAACAGGAUUAGAUACCCUGGUAGUCCACGC